GUCAACAAGCUUGACAGAGUGUAUACAUUGAACAUUGCGUCCACCAAUAGAAAAACAAACAUUCUUUUUAAGCAGACAUGGAAUAUUGAUGGAAACUGACCAUAUGCUAGGCCUAAAUUCAUACUUAUUGUGAUAGCUUUGUAAUGUGUCAGUUUGGCUAGGCUGAACUACCCAUCUCAGACUUCCCUUUCUUCUGUGUUUCCAGUUAGCAUGAGCCACGUGUCAUGCUAUUCUGGAAGGCAGGAAGAAAGCAAAAGCCAUUUUGUAGCUCACACACUUCGUUGCUGAUCUGCAAACUCACCUUGGAAUAAAGCAGAGCUGGGCCUCAAUUAUUCCCCUUUUCUCCUGGAUCUUCCUUCAGUGUCACUGACUCCUGGACCAGAUUUGCUGCUCAGUCAUAAUAGGAUGUCAGCGGCCUUCAGUGCCUACAUCUUCCCGCAUCCCAUGAACUCACGUGGGAAAUACCUGGAGCCCAGAUCUUCCUGAGAGAGCUGCGGAAAAACCUGACACCUGCUCAGGGCUUUUUCAUAAUCAAAGGCAAAGGAUCUAAAUAGAAAACAUUAAAGAAGUCUCACUCCGAUGAAUGAGGCCGAGCCUGCAGCUCAAGGAAACCCUGGAGACUGCAUAGGGUGUUGGAAGAAAGAAUCUCAGAAGAAAGAAAUCUUCCCAUGAAGAGAGAACAUCAAUUUCCAAGCCAGCAAGGGCGAGCUGGGGCCUCAGGAAGGAGGGGUGGGGUGGAGAGUGAACAGAUCCACACACUGGUAAGGUAGAUGAAUAAGAGAGAAACACCUAAAGCUUGCCCGAAAGCAAAGUCCUUGACCAGGUUUUUGUUCUGUGGAGGUCCCUUAAAACAACCCUGACUGGAGUUUUCUUUAACUGGCCCUGAGGGGAGAAAAAUGCCAGGACUCACCAAUGGAUGUUUCUCAAAUGCAAAGAAUCCUUCCAGUGGUCGUCUAUGUGUAGUGACGUGGGCAGCCCUGAUAUGAUCUGAGGGGUGCAGCGCAGUGGUUCCUCCCACACAGAUUCUGGCUCUGGCCCCAUCCUGGUUUUUGAACACCUAUCUACAUAACCUGCUAUGGAGUAAAGGUAUUGUUUGCCCAACACGCCUGUUGAAAGGCAAGUGUCCCUGGUAGGGUAAUCCAUUAGCAUUGGCAGGUCCUUCAGCAUAGAUGUGUGUCUCAGAUUAGAGGACUAGAAAGGCCUGGAAGUUGGGGAGAGUUAGUCUGAUAUGGAACAUUAGAGAGGAAUAGAGAAGGAGGGGAAGGAGAGAGGAGGGCAAAAGGGAGAGCAUUUUGACCAGCAUUUGGCCUUGAGACAGAAGGGGCUGAGUGAGGAUGAGAGCAGAAAUUUAAAUGGGAAGGUGUGGGGGCCCCUAAGGGGUUACUGUUUCUUCCACAAGCUACCAGGGCCAGACUCAUUCUUUCCUAAGGGCUCUCAUUCUUCCUCAAGCCCACUGGUGAAUUCACCUUUGAGUAUAGGCCAAAAGAGGAGACAACUCACUUCCUUUUAAUUAUUGAAACAAUAAUGUAAUAGCACCAUCAUUAAGCACUGGUUCUUAACUUGGGAGGGAGGUGAUCAUCGAACUCCUCUGAGAAUCUGAUGAAAGCUGUGCUCGUACUUCUCAAAAAAAUAAACAUAUGCACAGCCACACAAAAUAUGGUAUGUUUUCACUUGUUUUAUGGACACUGUGGGGGCCCAUCUCUGGGUCCCAUGAGAGGCCAUUGUCUCCUAGCUAAAAUGCUUUGAUUUAUUCUUUAAUAAUCCUAACACAGAGGUUUCAUUUUUGUGCAUUUAUUCUAAGCCCUCUUCCUUAUGCAUGCAUAAUUGUUACAGUGCAAUCAUAAUCUACAUACAAUUUAUGUGUUCUACUUUAUAAAAUCUAACAUUAUCUGGUAAACAUUUUUCUAUGUUGUUAUAUAUUCUUCACAAUUAUAAAUUUGAAUGAAUAUAUAAAAUUGUAUUGAAUUGUUGCAGUAUAAUUUUCUUAACUGUUCCUUAAUGACUAGGUGUUUAAAUGGCUUCUAAUUUUGUAGUAUAGAUAAUGCUACACUGAAUAUCCUUAUCCAUUUAUCUUGCUUCUGUUGAAUGUUUCCUUGAGAAAAAUUCCUACCCUUUACAAAAUCAAAGUGUAAGAAUAUUUUUAUGGGUCUUAAAAGAUGAUGUGAUAUUGCUUUCCAAAGAAGUUAUAAUUUUGGGUACCGCCAAUAGUAUACAAGUGUCCCAAUUUCCCCAAAUCUUUACCUAUAAUGGGUACUAUUAUUGAAUUUUUUUCUAAUUUAAUAGUUUUCAAAGCAUCAAGAAGAUAGUCUGAUGUUUGGUUGCCAAGGGGUGAAGUGGAGAAUGAGAAGAGUGUACUGGGAGGAUGGGGAAGUCUGGUCUAUAAUGGGAAUGGAUAAAGCUUCUAAGCUUUUCAGUAACAACUGGAACCAAGCAGGCUAUAUGAGUUAAGGAGCAGCACUCACGGACUUAGUAAACAGUACAUUCCCACUUUCUGUCCAAUCCCUUUUCAAGCUUCCACUUCUAAAUUUUAUCAGUCAAAAUGGAAACUGGGAGCUAGGGUUUGAUCAGGACCAACAGGGUUACUGUGGGUCACUUUGUAAGGCUACUGUGAUAUGGUAACAGUAUGGUUUAUCCUCAGGAUGUCAUUGUCUCUAAAAAAUUGCCUUGUGCUCCAUAGCAGCACUAUCCAAUAGAAACAUAAUGCAAGCCACAUAUACGUAGUUUUCAGUUUUCCAGUAGCCACACUAAAGAAAAAAAGUAAAAAGAAACAAAUGAUCCUCCUGACCUCAAAAUAUAUUACAAAGCUACAGUUGUUAAAACAUGGUACUAGCAUAAAGACAGACAUACACACCAAUGGAACAGAAUAGAAAGCUCAGAAAUAAACUCACAGGUAUACAUUCAACUGAGCUUUGACAAGGGUGUCAAGAAUAUAUAAGAGGGAAUGGACAGUAUCUUCAACAAAUGUUGUUGGGAAAACAGGAUAUCCACAUACAAAAUAAUGAAAUUAAAUCUUUAUCUUACUGUAUGCAUAAAAAUUAAUUCAAAAUUGAUUAAAGACUCAAACGUAAGACCUGAAACCAUAAAACUCCUAGAGAGAGGAAAAGCUUUAGUACACUGGGCUUGCUAAUAAUUUCUUAGAUAUGAUACCAAAGUACAAACAACAAAAGCAAAAUUGUACAAUGUGACUACAUGAAACUAAAAAGCUUCUGUACAACAAAGGAAACAAUUAACAGAAUGAAAAGGCAGCCUACAGAAAGGGAGAAAGUAUUUUCUAUAUAUAUAUUGAUAAGGGAUUAACAUCCAAAAUAAAUAAGUUCCUACGACUUAGUAGCAAAAAACCAAAUAAUCUGAUUUAAAAACAGGCAAACAGGCAAAGGACUUGAAUAGAAAUUUCUCCAAAGAAGACUUACAAAUGGCCAACAGGUGUAUGAAAAGAUGCUCAACAUCACUAAUCAUCAGGGAAAUGUGAAUCAAAGCCACAGUGAGAUAUCACCUCACACCCAUUGAUAUGGUUAUUGUCAAAAACAAAACAAGGCUGGGAGUAGUGGCUCACAUGUGUAAUGCCAGUACUGUGAGAGGCCAAGGCAGGAGGAUCACUUGAGGCCAGAAGCUCAAGACCAGCCUGAGCGAAACAGUAAGACCCCGUCUCUUCAAAAAAUUAAAAAAUUAGCUGGGCAUGGUGGUGUGCCCGUAAAAUCUCAGCUACUUGGAAGGCUGAGGUGGGAGGAUCGCUUGAGUCCAGGAGUUCGAGGCUGCAGUGAACUAUGAUCACACCACUACACACCAGCCUGGGUGACAGAGCAAGACCUUGUCUCAAAAAUAAAUAAAUAAAUCAGACAAAAAAGAUUAAAAUGUUGGUGAGACUGUGGAGAAAUUGGAAUUUUUAUAUACUGUUAGUGGGAAUGUAAAACAGUGCAGCCAAUAUAGAAAACAGUAUAAAGUUUCCUCAAAAAAUAAAAAAUAGAACUACCAUAUGUUCCAGCAAUUCCACUACUGGGUAUAUCCCAAAAGAAUUGAAAUUAGAAUCUUGCAGGGAUAUCUGUACUCCCAUGUCCAUUGCAGCAGUAUUAGCAAUAGCCAAGACAUGGAAGCAACCAAAAUGUUCACUGGCAGAUGAAUGGAUAAAAAAAUAUGGUAUAUAUAUACAAUGGAAUAUUAUUCAGCCUUUAAAAAGAAGAAAAUCCUGUCACUUGAGACAACAUGGAUGAACCCGGAGGACAUUAUGCUAAGUGAAAUGAGCCAGUCACAGAAGACAAAUACUGCAUGAUUCCACUUCUAUGAGGUACCUAAAAUAGUCAGACUCACACAAGCAGAAAAUAGAAGUGACUACCAGGAGCUGAGCUGGGGGGAGUAGGUUGGGACUUGUUCAGUUGAUAUAAAGUUUUGGUUAUGCAGGAGAAAUAACUUCUAGAGAUCUGCUGUACAGCAUAGCACCCAUAGUGAAUGGUACUGUAUUAUGCCCUUAAACAUUUGUUAUGAGGUUAGAUCUCAUGUUAAGCACUCUUGCCAAAAACAAACAACACAAAACAAAGAAAAAGGAAAAAAACAGUGGAGGGAGGACACAGGGAAACUUUUAAAGGUGAUGGAGAUGUCUAUUACCUUGAUUGUGGUGAUAGUUUUAUAGGUGUAUGCAUAUGUCCAAACUCUUCAAAUUAUAUGCAUUAAACGUACAUAGUUUUAAUAUAUCAAUUAUAUCUCAAUAAAACUAUUAAAAAACAAAUCAAAUUAACUUCAGUACUAUAUAUUAUUUAACCUGUCAUAUAUUUAAAAAUAUCAUUUCAGCAUGUAAUCAACAUAAAAAUUAUUAAGUAUUUUCACAGUCCUUUUUUCAUACUAAACCUUUGGAAACUGUUGCAUAUUUUAUACUAACAACACAUCCCAGUUCGAGACACCUAUAUUUCUAGUACUCAGUUGCCACAUGUGGUCAUGGCCACUGUAGUAGACAGUGCAGCUCUGUGGCCUCAGCCCACAGAGAUGAGCCUAGGAUGCUUUGCAUUGCAGAACUGUCUUUCUCUUAACGCUUGAGCUAUUGGGAAAUCAGAGCCAUGUUAUUUAUCAUGAAAGAGCAUUUGAUUAAAAGUAUAAAAUAUCCUAGGUCAGAUGGCUCACUGUAGUUGCAGGGGAGACAGUGAAUUGCUGACCAUGCACUGUGAUACAUCAAAAUAUAGGGACAUUCAGGCACCUCCUCAGCCUACUGAAUCAGGAUCUUUGGGGUGAGUCUAGAAAACAGAUUUUUAAGUACAGGUUUUAAUAUGAUAAUAAGUGGUGCCUGUUAUUAAUGGGAGGACAUUGAAUCCCAGAGAGAAUGAAUGACUCACUCAUGUUCUUCUCAUAGUUAGGGGUCAGCUAGACCUAGAACCUCACUUGGACCCACUAGACACCUUUCCACGCCCUCACCACAAUCACUGCCAACUGCUAUUCCAGCACAAUUCUUGCCAAGAAAAUACCUGCUGUCAUGUGACAGGUAUCAGCACACUUUAGGAGCAGUCAAGACAACUUCCUAAGAAGGUAAACUAUAUUUUCCCAACUUACCAAAUUAGAGUAAGAAGAAUAGAUUUCUUCCUUUAAUCUGGCUUUGUCUCAGACUGGAAGUGCUCUCUUGUCCAGUUAGAAACUAAUCGUGAUAAAAUUAGUAGGCCAGAAGGACACUCAUGGCCCAUCUUUAACAGGAUUUAUAGCCCUGGUUCCUUUUCUUGUUGCCUCUGUGGAAAUGUGCAAGCAUACACAUAGUUAGGAAGGUUUGAAGGAAAUGCCUUAGAGAAGUCUCAGUGACCAAGAAAAGCUAGUCAAAUUGCCAGCUUCGGCCACAGCCAUGUGUUAAAAUGCUCUGCAGACCCAAGUGUGAUCAUGAAACAAGUACAGCAAGAACAGCAGGUCUGUAAACAUCCUGAUGACAAUGGGGAACAAACAGCUGGGCCGAGACCAGAUCGGUUCAGGCAAAUGUGCUCGUGCUUUUGAUCCAAGUGCAAGAUGAGCGGAUGCAGGGGAGGCGGCAGCUGCGGCACAGCUGGACUCAGGAGGCAUGUGAUAGCGUGACUUGCAAAUCAUGCUGGAAAAAUUCAUUCUACUAAGCUUGGACGUGAACACAGUCACGUGGGGCCCAUCAGCUCACACACUGCAGCCAAGAGCGAGACAGAAAUGCAACCGGGCUAAUAAGAGGCGUCAGGCCCACUUCUAGUUGGACACGGCUGUCUUUCAGGGAAGGAAUGGGACAGGAAAUGCACUAUAUUUGGAAAUGACUCUAAAUUUAGAAUGAAAGACUGACUUGAGAAUACUGAAAACUUGAUUGAGAGAUACUUAAAUGUAUUUUAUAAGCAUGGAAGGCAUUUACUGGGGUCUCUACCAUAGUGUUUUUUGCUUGUUUGUUUGUUCGUUGAAGACAAGGUCUCACUGUGUCACCCAGACUGGAGUGCAGUGGCACAAUCACAGCUCACUGCAGCCUCAACCUCCUGGGCUCAAGUGUUCCUCAUGCGUCAGCCUCCAGAGUAGCUGAGGCUACUUGACCACAGGCAAGCACCACAUGCCUGGCUAAUUAAAAAAAUUUUUUUUUGUAGAGAUGGUAUCUCCCUGUGUUGCCCUGGCUGGUCUCAAACUCUUGGGCUAAAGUGAUCCUUCCACUUCAGCCUCCUAAAGUGCUGGGAUUGCAGUUGGGAGCCACAGCUCCUGGCUUCAUAGUGUUUAAUAUGAAAGGCUAUUCUGAUCUUUCCUACUGGUCUAGCACUUUGGGGUUUGCAAAGAGCCUUACAUUCACUUUCACUUCACCAAUGAGUAAAUAAGCCUCAGAAAAACUGAGUAAAUACUAGAGCUCCAGUGGCGCAAUCGGUUAGCGCGCGGUACUUAUACAGAAAAACUGAGUAAAUACUGAAUGUAUGUGUGUGUAGACAUACAAUAUUACAUGAUGUGCUAUUAAUAUAGCAUGUGUAUAUAUACUGUUUUACACAUAUUUAUAUAUAUUAUCAUACUAUAUAUGCAUAUAUGCAUACUAUUAUAAUCAUUCAUUUAACAAAUAUUUAUUGAGCAAUUACUUAGGUACCGGGCACAGUGCAGUAUAUCAACAAGGGUAAGGGAUGCAGACAUUGCAACUCUCAUGGAACUCAGAGCCUAGUUAGGAAGAAAACCAUUGCAUAAACAAUCACAACAUAAAUAUGAUUAGAGUCUGGAGUAAGUGCUACAAAAGAAAAGUCUAAGAGGUCACAAGAGUAUAAGAAGAGGGUCUGCCUUGCCUGGAGCAUCAGAUGCUCCCCUGAGGAAGGAGCCUGUGAGCUGAGCGGUCCGGAUGAGCAGGUGUUUUCUACAGUCUGUGCAUUGUGUCUGCUGAGAAUCUGGAAAUUAAAAAUGCUGCUGUUGGGGGUUUCACCAUGUACGGACGAGGCAGGAGUUCCUCCAAAAAAUACAAAUUCCAUGAGGUUAAAUCAGACCUCUCAGCCCCAAUCAAAAGGUAAGGACUUCGUGGAAGCUAAGGUCAAAGUCCAAUCGAUUUAAUAGACCCUGAGAAUGUAACAUCCUAUGGAAGCUGAAAUCUAAGUGCAGGUUAGUUCUCCCAAUUGCUUUCUGCCCUUUAAGGUUAGAGAAAGAUGACAGCAAGAAGCAUAAAACUCAGUUGUGGCUCUCAGAGCAGUCCUUGUUUUGAGGUUUUCUUUUUUCUGUCUUCUCCUUUCCCCCCUGUCUCCUCUCUGUCUUUGUCCUCCUUCCUCUACCUUCUUUAUUUUUCACUGUUAUAGAUUAGUACCAUCUAUUCUAUUAAUAUUGACUAUAAAUGCAUGUUUUCUUCAUGUUAAAUGCCUAUCAAUUGUCUUCUACCUUCCAAAAGUUAAAAAUGUAUAUAUGAUAUGGCAAAACUUGUGCUAGAUCACAAAAGCAAGCUUUCAUUUUGAUUUACACAGGUAUGUGUGUACACACAAACACACUAAAUACAAAGGGUUGCUGCUAUAGGCUAGCAUAAAUAGCUUCCUGAUUCUUAACACAUCAGGUAAUAUAAAUUCUGGUAAGCUCAGACUGCCUCUAUAUGUUCAUAUCAAUUAGCCUUAAGGGUCUUUUUCUGAAGCACACGGUAAAAUCAACACAGCAUUAGGAGCUAUUUUCUCAAAAACAAAGAGUUUGAAUUCUUGCUGUAGUAGUUCUGAAGUAAAAGAGAGGCUCCUUGCCCCUCGUUGUUCAAAGUCAUCCAUUUCCAACAGGCGAGGGCAUCAACAAUUUGGCAGAGGCAGGUAAAAAAGAGCCAGGGGAACCCAAGUGAAAUUUCAACACAGCGGUUGCCUUGGAACCCAUUUGGAGGUUAACUUGCUCUUGUUUCUCCAGCAUUUCCUUGCUGAAGGAAAUUUGUACUCCAAUUCCAGCCGCGUUCCAACUCCAAUAAAACAGUGAUAAGAUGCCCUGGAGGGUUGCAGCCAAGCCUGUGGGUGCAAACAGGGUCAAAUCACAUCAUGGGAAUGAGAUGGGAUUCUACAUAGUUUGAGUGUUGACUGUUUUCCUCUUGCCAACAGUGGGACGUUUGUUCUCAUUGUUAAAUAAUUAAAUAGGCAGUUUGUAUUUAUUUAACAUACAGACUGUAGCCAAUUCCUGCUGACAGCUACCAAAAUAACCCCAUAUUUCCUAGCUCUGAAUGGCUCAGAAGACUGUUUCCUGACUGCGGGAGCAUCACCGCAGAGCAAAACUCUCCUCCAAGUCUCCGAACACCUUUUUCAUCACUUUAAACAAUAAAUCAAUUCACAGCAUGUGAUCCAAAAACAACAGCCCAGUUUUAUUGGAUGAGGUUCAUUCCCAUUCUCUCAGGCACUCCUUCACUACCAGCACUGAGCUGUCUUGAAGCUGUACUUGGCUGUGGAUGGAAAAAAAAAAUCUACUAGUUUUCCUCAUUUACACUUGCCCAUUAAAAAAAGUGAAUUGUGACCUAAUAACUUAAAAAAGAAAAAAAAAAAGAAGAAUUAUAACUUGGAGGAGAAAGUAGAAAGUUUGGGAGAAGCAGGCCAAUCAGGAAGUCAGGGGAAACAAGUAUUUAAAUGUGGAGGUGGGUAGUCCUUGGAGCUUGGGAAUGAUUCAAGAUAAGGUAGAGACUCUCACUGGUCUCCUAAGGUGGUCAACAUGGCAGAGGGAAGAAACUGAGCAGUCAAAGAUAGCAUCCUCUGUGGAGGGUGGUGCUAAGAGAGAUUCUAGAACCAUUUACACAUGAUCAAUGCUUUGAUCCUGUCAUGUGUAUCAGAAGAGAUGUAGACCAGGCCGGGCAUGGUGGCUCACGCCUGUAAUCCCAGCACUUUGGGAGGCCAAGGUGGGCAGAUCACUUGAGGCCAGGAGUUCGAGACCAGCCUGGCCAACGUGGUGAAACACUGUCUCUACUAAAAAUACAACAACAAUUAGCUGGGCGUGGUGGCACGUACCUGUAAUCCCAGCUACUCGGGAGGCAGAGGUUGCAGUGACUGAGAUUGCACUACUGCACUCCACUCUGGGUGACAGAGAGAGACUCUGUCUCAAAAAAAAAAAAAAAAAAAAAAAAAAAAAAAAAAAAAAAAGGAGAUAUAGACCAGACUCCUCUUGAAAUUUCCUGGUAUUUGUAGUGUCUGAGGCAUUCAGACAGUAGGUGCUAAAGACUUAUCCCUAGGAGUCCGGAGUCCCACUUAAGUGGAAGAAGGAAGCGAUUUUCCCUGUCCUAAGUGGCUAGCUACCAGCCAGCAGCCAGGCGAUGUGUGGGUACUGACAUACCACAGCAUCUUCCUCUCGAUGCUCCCACUAAUGUGGCCACCAAAGGUCCACCCUAGAGGAAACAGCAAUGAAAGGAAACAGGACAAAAGACCCCGUGGCAAGAAAAAAGAUGGCCUAAUUUUUUCUUUCUCACCAUUCCUCUUGUCCUCUUAACCCAUCUCUUUACUGUGCAAUUUGCACUUUGAGUGGCUCUACAGAUGGUGGAUACAGUGAAGACCUCUGUUAUCAAUAUUAAAACUGAGCAUCAGUGAGUCAACAAGGCUCCACUUUGUCCUGUUCAACUUUAGCAGCACCACAGAGAUCAGAACUAAGUAAAGCCAUUUACACAAUUAAGGAGGAGGCUGCCUUUUAGAGUGGCACAAGCAUUUCCUCUGGAGUAGUGUGUCUGAACCAGGAAGUCCCUCUCUGCCUUGUCUGUGGAUUUUAGACAGUCUGAAUUCAGUUUCUUCUUCUGUGAAAUAGAUCAGCCCCACUUGUACUGUCAUAGUAUUGCUCUGAGUAUGGAAAAGGACAAUGGAAAAUGAGGUGCUCUGUAUUCUGUUAUUUGUCAUUAGUUGUGUUCUACUAACCAAACUUUAGGCAUGGUGGAGUUCAUUUCUGCCUCUUCUGGAGAUAGGAAACUAUAGAACUAACUUCAGAUGUAGAUUUUUUUAAAGUUGUCACUCUGUCCCUUUUCUUGUUUGUAAAAGGAGGAAGUGCUUCUGUGUGCCCUCCAAGGCUUCUUCCAACCUUCCAAAAAAAGAAAAAAAAGGCAGACAGUCCAUUCAAGGAUGGCAAUCAUGAAAUCUUGACCUACUUUGGAAUGAGAGGCAACAUCUAAGAAAACCUCAGCUUAAUCUCUAUUAGCUCACCACAGAAGCAUAUAUUCUGGGCUAAGAUCUCUCAGAAGCUGGGCCAUGGCCAUGGCAUGUGCUUAAAGCAUAAUAAAAUGGAUGUGGAAAAAAGAGGAGUGUAUCCCACCUGCUCAUUAUCUGGGGCCAUAUUCCUAGCAGGGUAGUUCAACUAUUCACAGCCAAGAAACAUUUUUGAUCAGAGUCCAAAUCUCCAUCCAGAAACAGGUUCCUGGCAUACCACUCAUGCCCCUGUAAUCAAUUCCCUGGACUGUGAAUCAAGUGACUACUGCCAGAGCAAUGGAGUUGGAUUGUUGACUUUUUGACAGGUCUCUCGCCUCUUUCUGCAUCUUAUGUCUUCCCCGCUCUCCUUCUUGCCCCACCUACUGAAGCCCUCUACCUUCAUCCCUUUUCUCCCUUACCAAUCUCUCCUCCCUCCAUUUUUUCCUUUCUCUGCACCUCAGCUGAUGGCAGAUACUAUUUUUCAUACUUCUAAGCUUGCAUCAGUAUCAACACAGCCAGAUUCACUCACAUUUCCCUCCCCCUCCUCCCUCCCUGUCCCACUCCAAUUCUUUCCAAGGAGAACUUGGGGAUUGUGUCCAAACUGGGACUGAAUACAACCAACGAGGAACCCGAUGAUCCAAGUCCCACCCCCACAGCACACUAUAAUCCAGCACUGUAUAGAGCAGUUCACAGAACCAAAUAUAAAGCCCUUAUUAAGAAUAAACAUGUUGGCUGGGUGUAGUGGCUCAUGCCUAUAAUCCCAACACUUUGGGAGGCUGAGUUGAGUGGAUAACUUGAGUCCAGGAGUUCAAGACCUGCCUGGGCAACAUGGUGAAGCCCUGUCUUUACGAAAAAUCCAAAAAAAAAAAAAGAUUAGCUGGGCAUGGGGCAUGCGCCUGUAGGCCUAGCUACUUGGGAGGCUGAGGUGGGAGGAUAGCUUGAAUCCAGGAGGUUGAGCUGCAGUUAGCCAUGAUUGCAUCACUGCAUUCCAGCCUGGGCAACAGAGCAAGAUCCAGUCUAAAACAAAAAAACAAAAAAAGAAGAAUGAACAUUAUUCCAUAUGGAGACUUAGCCUCUGUCAGUUAGACCCCUUGACAUCCAUAACACAGAACUGGAAACUGGACAAUGGGCAAAGAAAGAAAAAUCACAGGUUCAGGUUACAGAAAAGAAGGCAGGGAGAAAGGGCAAGUUAAUCUAAAUACUGGGUAAGAGACAAAAAGCUAAAUGAGAUGGAGGAGCAUUCCGUGGUGGGAGUGGGAGGUGUUAGUAAACAGGGGCUGUGGAGCAACAUGGGUCCAGGAGAGUUGGGGAGACAGAAAAGGACAUAUGAAAAGUGUUGCCAGCUGGUAAGUUACAUCCUCAUAACUUCUUCUUAAGACAUAGAAAUUAGAGGCUAAAUUCCUUUUUCAUUACUUUUGACUGAUCUGUAAGUUUGUGAAUAUAAAUCUCUGGAAACUGAGGCACAUGGUCAAGGAGGCACACAGGCUACACGCUGGAGUUUAGGUAACUCUCAGAUCUUCUGAGCCAUCUUCAGAUUAAUCUCAGAUCAAAGAGGUUUAGAAAGGGAGAUGAUCUUCAGGAAUCUCCCUUACAAUACACUCUCAUCAGAUGCAUUUUUCAAAGGACAUUUGCUUUAGCAGAAUUGGAGAGAGAUAAAUCGCAGCCCUGUGCAUUCGAUACUUGAUACAUCCUUCCUCCACUGAGAAGCUAAUGCUCUAGUUCUGGGUUUACCUGAAGCCAUUAGGAGAGCUAAAACUCCAUGUAGUGUGCUCUGCUAAAAGUAAGUGGAUUUCGGAGCUAGAAGAAGAAUUCUCUCUCUCUGUAGUUCAAAUGGCAUUCAGAAAUCCAAUUAACGUUGGUUUUUCUAAAGCAGAAUCUGUAAUUGUGUCCAAUACUGCCAACUGUUCAGUUCGAUAAUAAAACAGGCUAUUCUUAAGAUGGCCUGUAGUCAUUAGGGAAAGUCUAGCUCUGUAGGAUACAAUUUCUCUUUGGAAUAAUAUAUGUGAUGUUUUUAUAAUUUCUUUCAUCCAAGCAUUUCAAAGCAUUUUAAAAUAAUUUGGAGACACAGGAUAUAUAUUUUUCAUAAAUUAAGCUACAUAUGUCAAUACUUUGCCUAGGGACAGAAAUUAAUUAUUCCACAGAAGUGAUGCUGGUAUCUAAUCUUAUUACAUUUAUACUGUAAAAGUAUCAUUAUUAAUAAUUAUGACAGCUAUUAUUUAUUGAAAGCAGAAUGCUUAUCCUGUUAGGCAUUGUGUUAAGUGCUUUGCGUGUAUUAUCUCAUUUAAUCUUCCCAUGAAUCCAAUUCUAAAUCUAAUCCCAUUUCAGUAUGAUUCUAUGAGUAAAGUACUACUUCUAUCCUUUUUUCACAAAUGGUGUCAAUUAGGUUCAAAAAAGUUUAAGUAGCAUGCCCAUUGUCACAUCGCUAGUAAGAAUGGUGGAGCAUCUCUUAUUGGGGAGGACCAGUUAUUAAGAGUUCCGAUGGUCAAUUUCCUUUUCAAAUGUCACUUGUGUGGCAUAUUGUGCAGCCUGUUUGAUCAUGAAGAGAUGGCCUUCUUAAUUCUAGAACCGUGUGGCUAAAAUCUUUGCUAAUUCUUGAAUGUACCAAGGGCUCUACUGUCUCUCAACACCUUGUAAGUAAAGAAAACUUAAGGGUGAUUUUUAAAGUAUGGCAAAGAACAACCUUUCUCAACUGUCAGACAGUUCUCUAGAUCACAACUAUAGCACAUACCAUACCAAAAAUUACAAAAUUUGGAAACAUAAAGUUGUCAUCUUCCUCCUGGGUUAUUGCAGUGUCCUAAUUGUUCUCCUUGCUUCUCAUUUUGCCCCCUUGGAAUAAAACCCAUGGCUAAAUGUUUUAGCCUAGCUUACCAGUAAUCUGAUCUCAUCUUAUGCCACGCUCUUCCUAACCCACUCUAUUCCAGCCACACUCACUCAGCCUUUUCCAGCUCUUCAAACACACCAAGUUCUUCUUGCCUUUAUACAUACUAUCAUCUCCUGUUGAAACUUCAUACUCCUGCUCUUCUCCCAUAUUCCUUCCUCCUAUUUCUUGGCUCUUAAAUGUUAUAAAUGGUGUUCAGUCACAUACACACACACAUUCACAAACACACACCCCACGUCUAAAUUACACCCUGUUUUUCCUUCAUAGCUCUUAUCCAUAUUUACAGUUUUCUGUUGUUUUGAGUACUUUGUCUAAUGAGUGUCUCUUCAAUUGGACUAUAAGAUCCAUGAGGGAAAAUUUCAUAUCUCUUCAUUUACCAUUGUAUUCCCAGUGCCUGAUACACUGCCUGACUAUAUUAGAAGCCAGUGAACUAUUUCAUAAGUUGAGUGACUCUAAGUUUGAUUCCUUAUCAACCACCUAAUUGCUGUGUGACCUUUGGAAAUGCAUAUUCAACUUCUUCUCUGAGUGUCAGUCUUUUCAUCUGUUAAAUGGGGCUCACAAUACCUAUAUUACAGGAUCUACAUGGAGAAGAUGUAUGCUAAUAUAUAUAAAAUGCUUCAAAAAUUGUUAAACCUUGUAGAAUCUCGAACUUUAAAUUCAGUAUCGCCCCAUUGAAGCUAAGGGUGUUUCCGCCAGUUUAGUAGGCUAAACUUGCAGAAGGAGCAGACUUUGGACAGCAUGUGGGCAAUUUUCACAAGGCGUUUAACUGGGCUUCAAGCCCAGGGCACUCAGAGGCUCAGCAAGGAGUGAAAUAGGGCCAGCUCGCCCCCCGAGGGGUCCAUCGGUCCCUUGACUAAGCUGGUAUGCUUAUGUUGUGUAUUUGUGCAUCAUAAACACAGCCAUCUAUCUGGUUUUUUGUCCUCUUUUCUGACUGACUUCUCACUCAAAGCACAAAGAAAAAGAAAGGAAAUGCAAAGUCAUGUGCAUCAACAGAGCCUAUAUCUUUGAGUAUCUUAGUGACUUGGGAUUAUUUUAAGGGAAAAAAUAUGGGAAAGUUCUGCAGGGACCUAACACACAUGGCUGGCUAUCAUCUAUACUCCAAGUAGACAUCGCUUUCUUAACUGUUGUAGUUGUUUGGAAGGAAGGGUGUGUCUGAUGCAGCCUAGAACUUUUCCCAGGGAUUUUGGGGAAAGCUCUCUUCCUUCUUAUUGAUCUGGAUUUGAAAAAGCAAUAAUAUCUAAAACUACGUUAGGGGAAAGGUCAGAAAAGAGAAGUCACCUGAUAGAGAAAGGGUCAAGGUAGACAGAGGUCACCAGUGGAGACUAAGGUCUAAGACAUAUGGUUUCCUUUGACUUUCUUCUCCUCACCAGUGGGUAAAGUGGUGAACUGGAUAUCAGCAUUCUUGGAAACUCCUGGAAGUUUUCUAAUUCUCUACAGAACCAUGAAGUGAACAGGGCACUUCAAAGAAUACUUGAUCCAUAGCCCUUGCUUUUUCAUAGGUUAGUCUCUGAAACAAAUGAGAAAGUAAUUCACAUUAUAAGUGGUAUUCCAAAAACAACAGCCAUUUGGGAUUCUUAUCUGGUAUUGAGGGGUAGACAGGAUUUUUCCAAGCUUGAAUAAAAGUCCCAGGAUCUGCUAGACACGGGGAAUUUACCCUCUCUUCUUCACCCAUGUGAAAUCUCACUCCACGACCAUUCCCUGACCUAGGCCCCAUCAUCUCCUGCUUGGGCCACUUCAAGAGACUCCUAAGCAACUUUUCGCUUCUGGUCUGGUGCCUGCUCCACUUCACCCCCAAUCCAUUCACACUUUACCCAGAGUGAUCUUUCUGAAACAAAUCUAAUCAUACAAACCCUGCUUGAAUGUCUUCCAUCAUUCUCCACGGUUGUGGAGGUAAAGUCCACACUGUAACAUGGCCUAUGAGGCCUUCCUACCUCACCAGCAUCAUCUCGUAUAAUUCUUCCCAUAUCUCACCAUCCACCUCGGCCCACCUCUUAUUAUUCAGGCAUGCUGUUCUUAAGGCAGGUCCUGAACAGGCUGUGCUCUCUUGGGACUCUAGGUCUUUACAUAUCUGUGAAUUAUAAAGUUCACCUUCUCACUACUAUUAUUCAAAACAUUUUCUUGGAGCUCUUUCAUUGCGCUUAACAUUGUACUUGGCAGUAGAACAGACAGACAGGUAAACAAGUAGUUACAGUUCAGAUAUUACAGAGGACAAAAUGUAUAAAUGUGAUAGAAGCCAGAGAAAGGGGCAACUAAUUUGGUCAGGGCGGAGCAAAGGAAAGCUUCACAAGAAGAGAAGACCAAUCACAUUAGCUCAUGUUUAGUGAACAUUUACUUAGCUCUGAGCUAAAGUGUUUUACAAAUGUUAUCUUAUCAAAUUAUCAAAAUAACUCUAGGAAAUGGAUACUGUCAGGAGAGAGGAGAGCAUAACAGUUAAGCACAUGAGUUAGGCCUCAGCUUAAACCCUGUCUCUACCACUUAGAAGAUUUCUAGCCUUGAGCAAGUUGUUUAACUCCCAAGGCAUUUUUGUCAACUUCAAAAUGGAGAUAGAUAAUAGUUUUUUUAAAAAAAUUAGUUCUGGCUGGGCGCGGUGGCUCACGCCUGUAAUCCCA
rnacentral:lncRNA from 1 species